rnacentral:rRNA from 1 species
UUAAACUAAGAAUAUAUAGGGUGGAGCUUUUUAUUCAAUAAUUAAUAAAAGAUGAAUAAAUAAAUAUUUUUUUAUAAAUUAGGCUUUUUAGUGGCCAUAUUUUUAAAGUAUUUUAACUAAUAAAAUAUAUUUUUUUUUUAUUUCUAUUCUCUUUAACGUUUAUUAAAAUAAAUUUUUUAUUAAAAUUAAAUUAGUAAUAAUGAGAAUAUUAGUAAAGAAAUAGAUUGUUGAAGUUAAAAUAAUAGAUUUAUAAAUAUUUUAUAGUAAAUAUAAGGAAAAAUUAAAGGAAUUCGGCAAAUUUUUUCUUGCCUGUUUAACAAAAACAUGUCUGUAUGAAGUUAUAUAGAGUCUGACCUGCCCGUUGAAAAAAUUUGAAAGGCCGCGGUAUAUUAACUGUGCAAAGGUAGCAUAAUCAUUAGUUUUUUAAUUGAAGGCUUGUAUGAAUGGUCUGACAAAGGAAAAGCUGUCUUUAAUUUUAUUUUUGAAUUUAACUUUUAAGUGAAAAGGCUUAAAUAAUUUUAAGGGACGAUAAGACCCUAUAAAUCUUUAUAUUAUAAUAUUAUCUUUAAGUUUAAUAGUUUGUUUAAAUUUACAAGAAUAUAAUAAAUAUUUUGUUGGGGUGACGAGAAUAUAAUAAUAACUGUUCUAAAAGAAAACAAAGUUGUUUGUAAAUAUUUAAUAGAUCCUUUUUUAAAGAUUAAAAGUUUAAGUUACUUUAGGGAUAACAGCGUUAUUUUUUUUGAGAGUUCUUAUCGAAAAAAAAGUUUGCGACCUCGAUGUUGAAUUAAAAUUUCUUUACGGUGUAGAAGUUGUAUAAGAGAGUCUGUUCGACUUUUGAAAUUUU